AGCAUAAAAUAGCUUUUUCUAAUGAAAACUUCAACUUGUUUGAGUAUUAAUCAUUUUAAUAUUUCACAAAAGUGCUUUUUUUUGCAUAAAACUUUAAAACCUUUUAACACAGACCCCAGCAGGAAUGUUCAAAAAGCUUCAGGGAGAGCCUUUGAAGAUGAAACAACUGCAUUCCAAGUCCCAGUCUCCCUCCCUGGAGACAUGCUUUCCAAAAGGCUACAGCCACAGCACAAAGCCAACCUUGACAUUUGCAUAAAUCCAUCAGUGUCACCACGACAGCGCCGACUCCUAGGUCGCCAUCCGCCGUUAAAUUUAGAAAAAAAACAAAACUAGGCAGGAAUGGUGAAAAAAAACACAGCAAAGGUUGUAAAGGUUUUGCAUUGCUAUGCUGCAGUCAGAUGAUUACAUUGACAGGUCUCAGGUGAGCGCUUUUCAGGCACAAGCUAUACAAAAAACAGCCAUGGCUUUUGUUAUUGCCUGGAGUUUUACAACAUGACAUGUAAGUGUGCGUGAGAUUGUUUAUGUGUGUGAGAGAGUGCUGCUUGAAGGAGGUGGCAGUGCAUAUGAAUUCGUCUGUCCAAGAUUCACGAGUAAAUGCUGUGGACAAGGCCACUGGCCUCACCUGGCAGUCGAUUGUCGUAAUUUCACCGAUGUCACUUUCAAUUUAGCCAGCGACUGAGAUGAGAGAUAACUCUGCAGGCUGCACCCACACCACUCCACCUCCUGCUCUCUGGAGCUACAAGUGUGCAGGCUGCAACAGCAGUGGCUUACAGACAGGAAGUAGACAACUGUGUGAGAAGACACAAUUGCGUGUUUUUUUUUUUUUUUUUUAAUUGAGGUGCUGUGAAAUGAGAAUUAUAUUGUAAAAAGUCAACUAGAUCACUUGUUGUUACCUAUGUCUCAGGCUUUCUCCAAUUAUGUUCUUCUGUUAACCAAAUAUGUGACCCUGGACCACAAGACCAGUCAUAAGUAGCAUUUGUAUCAAUAGCCAACAAUACACUGUAUGGGUCAAAAUGAUCGAUUGUUUUUUUUUUAUGCCAAAAAUCAUUAGGAUAUUAAGUAAAGCUCAUGUUCCAUGAAGAUAUUUUGUAAAUAUCCUACCCUAAAUAUAUCAAAACUUAAUUUCUGAUUAGUAAUAUGCAUUGCUAAGAACUUAAUUUGGUAAAUUUAAAGGCAGUUUUCUGAAUAUUUCAAUUUUUUGUUAGGGUUUUUUUUUUUUGCACCCUCAGAUUUCAGAUUUUUAAAUAAUUGUAUCUCGGCCAAGCAUUUUCCUAUCCUAACAAACUAUACAUCAAUGGAAAACUUAUUUAUUUAUUAUUGAUUUAUAAAUCUC
ensembl:lncRNA